GAUGAACGCUGGCGGCGUGCCUAACACAUGCAAGUCGAGCGAGAAACCUGCAAUUGAAACUUCGGUAGAUUUGCGGGCGGAAAGCGGCGGACGGGUGAGUAACGCGUAGGCAACCUGCCCUUUGCAGAGGGAUAGCAACGGGAAACUGUUAUUAAAACCUCAUAAUACCGACAUGUCAAAUGACAAGACGGUCAAAGAUUUAUCGGCAAAGGAUGGGCCUGCGUCUGAUUAGUUAGUUGGUAGGGUAACGGCCUACCAAGGCAGCGAUCAGUAGCCGACCUGAGAGGGUGAUCGGCCACAUUGGAACUGAGACACGGUCCAAACUCCUACGGGAGGCAGCAGUGGGGAAUAUUGCACAAUGGGCGAAAGCCUGAUGCAGCAACGCCGCGUGAAGGAUGAAGGCCUUUGGGUCGUAAACUUCUGUCCUUGGGGAAGAAAAAAAUGACGGUACCCCUGGAGGAAGUCCCGGCUAACUACGUG
rnacentral:rRNA from 1 species